rnacentral:rRNA from 1 species
UACGAAGGGGGCUAGCGUUGUUCGGAAUCACUGGGCGUAAAGCGCACGUAGGCGGACUUUUAAGUCAGGGGUGAAAUCCCCGGGGCUCAACCCCGGAACUGCCUUUGAUACUGGAAGUCUUGAGUCCGAGAGAGGUGAGUGGAACUCCGGAGUGUAGAGGUGAAAUUCGUAGAUAUUCGGAAGAACACCAGUGGCGAAGGCGGCUGCACUGGCUCGGUACUGACGCUGAGGUGACGAAAGGCAGUGGGGAGCAAACAGGAUUCGAGAUACCCCCGGUAGUCC